ensembl:lncRNA
AGUGAUAAGAAAACGAGUAGUGAUAAAACGAGUGAUGGUAAGGUUCAACAUAAGUACUUUUUUAGUCCAAUAAAAAGUAAUAACAUUAAAGAUAUAAAAAGAAGAUUAAGAAUAAGUAAUAAAAAUUAUAAUUCAAAAAAAACAAAUUAUAUUUUAAAAAAAAAGGAUAUUCAUAAAUCGUUAAUUAAUGAUAUUAAUAAAGAAAAUAUAAAAGAAGAGUUACAAAAUAUAGGACAAAAUAAAAUAAAAGAAAAUGCAUUAUUACCUUUACCAUUAGAUAAUAAAAAUGCAGAAGGUUAUAAUUGUUUAUUAUUAUGUAAAGGUAUACCAUUUCAUGCGACACGUUCACAGAUUGAAUAUUUUUUUAAACCAUAUAAACUAAUAUAUAAAUAUAUUAUUUUUAUAAAUGAUAAAAAUGGUCACUUUUUUGGUGAUAUAAUUGUAAGGUUUAUAAAUAAUGAACAAAAAAAAUUAGCAUUACAAAACAAAAAUUAUAAAUUCUUAUUACAUAGAUAUAUACAAUUAUUUAACAUAAAUGAAGAAUAUUAUGAAGAAUAUUUUAAUAUAGGUUAUAAGAACCCUCCAUUAUAUAAAAAUUAUGUACCUAUUAAAAAUAUAAUAGUUUCUAAUCCAUUAGAAAGUUAUACAGAUAGUGUUAACAAUAUUGACAUAGUUGAAGAUAUUGUUGGUAGUGUUGGUCGUAGCAGUAAUAGUAACUCGUCCAUUAUAAAUAACAACAAUACUGAUGAUAAAGAUACAAAAGAGCUUCGAGAAAAGGUCAAUUGUAAUGGUAUAUUGUUAAAAACGUUAUAUACUGGUAAACGGCUAAAAGGAAGAAUUACAUCCGUGCAUUCUUAUGGUGUUUUUGUUGACUGUAAUGUAUAUAUAAAAAGCGUUAAUAACAAAUAUAUUAAAAUUUUAGCUUUAUUGCAUAAAAAUAAAUUAACUAUAAAUGUAGGUUUACCUUUUGAUCCAAUAAAUGAACAGGAAAAAAAAGAAUUAAUUUUAAAAAAAAAUAUGAACAUUAUUGUAUAUGUUGACAAAAUUAUAGAUCGAAAUAAAAACUUAUAUGUUCCAGAUAGCGUCCUUAAUUUUGGAAAGGAUACUACUACGAGUAGUGGUGAUGGUAGUAAUAGUAACAACAAUAGAAAUAACUUAAUUUUUUUUAAUCUUACUUUAGAUUCUUCUAUCACAAAAGAAAAAAUUGAUUGGCUACAAAAAGCAAAAAUAAAGCGACAAUUAACACUAAAUAUAAAAAAUAAUAACUAUGAAACAAAAAUUGCAAAAAAUAAAUUUUGUUUAACCCUUAAUGGUAAUACUAGAAAAUGUGAAGCUGAUUUAGAGAAAGUUGUAGAAAUAAAAAAUGACAAUAAUACUAAAUAUAACAAGCAGAGUGAAAAUAAUGCUAAAACAAUCUCAAACUGUUAUAAUAACGAUGGAUGUGAAUUGAUCAAAGAUAAUAACAACUAUCUGAGUGAAAAAAAAAAAAGUAAAUAUUUUUAA